GCCAAAAUCACGGCGAAACACCGGUCCCCAUACGAUCACCGAAGUUAAGCAACAUCUCAGCCUGAUCAGUACCUAGAUAGGAGACCACUUUGGCAAUACCAGGUGCUGUAAG